rnacentral:lncRNA from 1 species
AGGCCAUCUGCUUAGGUGUUCAGACUGACACCCACUGCCAUGGGAAAUUAUAGAGACCUGGGAAAUCUGACUAUCAGAGGAGAGCUAUUGCCAAAUGGAUCAAACAUCAGAACUUGUUCUUGCUGGCUUCUUCCUCCACUACCACCACACCACGACCGCCAAAACCAGCAAAUUCCAGUCUCAAAGUUGCAAGUCUUGACCGCAUUUCAGGGCACAGGAAACGGAAUCA